rnacentral:rRNA from 1 species
CCUACGGGUGGCAGCAGUGGGGGAUAUUGCACAAUGGGGGGAACCCUGAUGCAGCGACGCCGCGUGGGUGAAGGAGUAUUUCGGUAUGUAAAGCCCUAUCGGCAGGGAAGAAUUUAGACGGUACCUGACUAAGAAGCCCCGGCUAACUACGUGCCAGCAGCCGCGGUAAUACGUAGGGGGCAAGCGUUAUCCGGAAUUACUGGGUGUAAAGGGAGCGUAGACGGCUGUGCAAGUCUGGAGUGAAAGGCGGGGGCCCAACCCCCGGACUGCUCUGGAAACUGUAUGGCUGGAGUGCAGGAGAGGUAAGCGGAAUUCCUAGUGUAGCGGUGAAAUGCGUAGAUAUUAGGAGGAACACCAGUGGCGAAGGCGGCUUACUGGACUGUAACUGACGUUGAGGCUCGAAAGCGUGGGGAGCAAACAGGAUUAGAUACCCGUGUAGUC